AAUCAAAUAGAAAUAAAAAUAAUAGAAACCAGAUGCUCCGCAGGGCGUAGCUUUAUACGACCGCAGAGGUUGAACCCUGAACGGUUGGGGCAAGUAUGGACACAACAUUCAAGCUGGAUUCAGCUCUAAAUUUGGAUUGUGAUUAAAUAGUUGAAACAGCAUAGGUUUCUGACACAGAAUGAAUGUGUUCUAAUGAACUUAAAAUUUUUGUUUUCUCUUAGAGCAAUUCACUAUGCUGUUGAAUAUUAAUCCUCUCAAAAAAAUGUUUGAAGAAAUUUUCUUUUUAUUUAUGAAAUUUCAAAUGAGAAAAAUUGAACCCAAUUUUUUUAAUCACACCCCCCUUUCCCUUAUUCCAAAACUAAUCUCAAUUAAAAUUUCUAAUGGAGUUUGCAACAAUAACUACUCAUUUAAAUACAUCAUAAAAU
rnacentral:lncRNA from 1 species